ensembl:lncRNA
UGGUGGUGACAGCUGCUGCAGGGGUGGUGGUGGUGACAGCUGCUGCAGGGGCGGUAGUGGUGAGAGGUGCUGCAUGAGUGGUGGUGGUGAGAGGUGCUGCAGGGGCGGUGGUGGUGACAGCUGCUGCAGGGGCGGUAGUGGUGAGAGGUGCUGCAGGGGCGGUGUUGGUGACAGCUGCUGCAGGGGCGGUAGUGGUGAGAGGUGCUGCAACGGCGGUGGUAGUGAGAGGUGCUGCAGGGGCGGUGUUGGUGACAGCUGCUGCAGGGGCGGUAGUGGUGAGAGGUGCUGCAACGGCGGUGGUAGUGAGAGGUGCUGCAGGGGCGGUGGUGGUGACAGCUGCUGCAGGGGCGGUAGUGGUGAGAGGUGCUGCAGGGGCGGUGGUGGUGAGAGGUGCUGCAUGAGUGGUGGUGGUGACAGCUGCUGCAGGGGCGGUAGUUGUGAGAGGUGCUGCAGGGGCGGUGUUGGUGAGAGGUGCUGCAGAAGUGGUGGUGGUGACAGCUGCUGCAGGGGGGGUGGUGGUGAAAGCUGCUGCAGGGACGGUAGUGGUGAGAGGUGCUGCAGGGGCAGUGGUGGUGAGAGGUGCUGCAUGAGUGGUGGUGGUGACAGCUGCUGCAGGGGCGGUAGUGGUGAGAGGUGCUGCAGGGGCGGUAGUAGUGAGAGGUGCUGCAGGGGCGGUGGUGGUGACAGCUGCUGCAGGGGCGGUGGUGGUGAGAGGUGCUGCAGGGGCGGUGGUGGUGAGAGGUGCUGCAGGGGCAGUGGUGGUGAGAGGUGCUGCAUGAGUGGUGGUGGUGACAGCUGCUGCAGGGGCGGUAGUGGUGAGAGGUGCUGCAUGAGUGGUGGUGGUGACAGCAGCUGCAGGGGCGGUAGUGGUGAGAGGUGCUGCAUGAGUGGUGGUUGUGACAGAUGCUGCAGGGGCGGUAGUGGUGAGAGGUGCUGCAUGAGUUGUGGUGGUGACAGCUGCUGCAGGGGCGGUGGUGGUACCAGCUGCUGCAGGGGCGGUGGUGGUACCAGCUGCUGCAGGGGCGGUGGUGGUGACAGCUGCUGCAGGGGCGGUGGUGGUGAGAGGUGCUGCAGGGGCGGUGGUGGUACCAGCUGCUGCAGGGGCGGUGGUGGUGACAGCUGCUGCAGGGGCGGUGGUAGUGAGAGGUGCUGC